rnacentral:rRNA from 1 species
GAUGAACGCUAGCGGGAGGCCUAACACAUGCAAGCCGAGCGGUAGAGAUUCUUCGGAAUCUUGAGAGCGGCGUACGGGUGCGGAACACGUGUGCAACCUGCCUUUAUCAGGGGGAUAGCCUUUCGAAAGGAAGAUUAAUACCCCAUAAUAUAUUUGAUGGCAUCAUUAGAUAUUGAAAGCUUUGGCGGAUAGAGAUGGGCACGCGCAAGAUUAGAUAGUUGGUGAGGUAACGGCUCACCAAGUCGAUGAUCUUUAGGGGGCCUGAGAGGGUGAUCCCCCACACUGGAACUGAGACACGGACCAGACUCCUACGGGAGGCAGCAGUGAGGAAUAUUGGACAAUGGGUUAGCGCCUGAUCCAGCCAUCCCGCGUGAAGGACGACGGCCCUAUGGGUUGUAAACUUCUUUUGUACAGGGAUAAACCUACUCUCGUGAGAGUAGCUGAAGGUACUGUACGAAUAAGCACCGGCUAACUCCGUG